UACGUAGGGUGCGAGCGUUUAAUCGGAAUUACUGGGCGUAAAGCGUGCGCAGGCGGUGAUGUAAGACAGAUGUGAAAUCCCCGGGCUCAACCUGGGAACUGCAUUUGUGACUGCAUCGCUGGAGUGCGGCAGAGGGGGAUGGAAUCCGCGUGUAGCAGUGAAAUGCGUAGAUAUGCGGAGGAACACCGAUGGCGAAGGCAAUCCCCUGGGCCUGCACUGACGCUCAUGCACGAAAGCGUGGGGAGCAAACAGGG
rnacentral:rRNA from 1 species